rnacentral:rRNA from 1 species
CCCUUAGAUGUUCUGGGCCGCACGCGCGCUACACUGAUGCAUUCAACGAGUUUCUUCCUGGUCCGAGAGGAAUGGGUAACCUUUUGAAAGUGCAUCGUGAUAGGGACAGACUAUUGCAAUUAUUGGUCUUCAACGAGGAAUUCCUAGUAGACGUAGUUCAUCAGACUGCAUCGAUUACGUCCCUGCCCUUUGUACACACCGCCCGUCGCUCCUACCGAUUGAAUGCUCAGGUGAGCCAUUCGGACUUUCAUCAUGCUGGUUUCCAGUUUUGAUGAAGGAAAGUCUUGCGAACCUUAUCAUUUAGAGGAAGGAGAAGUCGUAACA